rnacentral:lncRNA from 1 species
UCAGGGCGAUUAGGCCUCCUGACUAACUUCCUGAAAACAUUUUGUCAGGGCGAUUAGGCCUCCUGACUAACUUCAUUUUGUCAGGGCGAUUAGGCCUCCUGACUAUACUGACUCAAUAAUAGGGGCGGUUAGGCCUCCCUGCUCAUACUCUUUAUGCUUGACUCUUCCAUUACUCUUUUCUCGACUUUUCAUGUCAUACUGAGGGCUAAAGGGUUAUUCAACAUUCAUCCGCAUACUCAUCCAGUUAUGCAAUGCAGCAUCUUCAUGGUUCUAGUGCAACAACCUAUUAUCUCAUGGCAUUCAUGAUGCAUGUCUCAUGUUCGUCACAUUAUUAUCUUUUAGUAUUACCCAUCCUAGCAUUAACAUGGCAAUUAUGAUGCAUGGAUCAUGCUGAAACAUUCUUUAAUUUAAAAC